GCACUAAGUUGGGCACUCUAAGUUGACUGCCGGUGACAAACCGGAGGAAGGUGGGGAUGACGUCAAAUCAUCAUGCCCCUUAUGAUUUGGGCUACACACGUGCUACAAUGGACAAUACAAAGGGCAGCGAAACUGCGAGGUCAAGCAAAUCCCAUAAAGUUGUUCUCAGUUCGGAUUGUAGUCUGCAACUCGACUAUAUGAAGCUGGAAUCGCUAGUAAUCGUAGAUCAGCAUGCUACGGUGAAUACGUUCCCGG
rnacentral:rRNA from 1 species